rnacentral:rRNA from 1 species
UGCAAGCCGAGCGGUAGAGAUUCUUCGGAAUCUUGAGAGCGGCGCACGGGUGCGGAACACGUGUGCAACCUGCCUUUAUCUGGGGGAUAGCCUUUCGAAAGGGAGAUUAAUACCCCAUAAUAUAAUGAGUGGCAUCGCUUAUUAUUGAAAACUCCGGUGGAUAGAGAUGGGCACGCGCAAGAUUAGAUAGUUGGUGAGGUAACGGCUCACCAAGUCAAUGAUCUUUAGGGGGCCUGAGAGGGUGAUCCCCCACACUGGUACUGAGACACGGACCAGACUCCUACGGGAGGCAGCAGUGAGGAAUAUUGGACAAUGGGUGAGAGCCUGAUCCAGCCAUCCCGCGUGAAGGACGACGGCCCUAUGGGUUGUAAACUUCUUUUGUACAGGGAUAAACCUUUCCACGUGUGGAAAGCUGAAGGUACUGUACGAAUAAGCACCGGCUAACUCCGUGCCAGCAGCCGCGGUAAUACGGAGGGUGCAAGCGUUAUCCGGAUUUAUUGGGUUUAAAGGGUCCGUAGGCGGAUCUGUAAGUCAGUGGUGAAAUCUCAUAGCUUAACUAUGAAACUGCCAUUGAUACUGCAGGUCUUGAGUAAGGUAGAAGUAGCUGGAAUAAGUAGUGUAGCGGUGAAAUGCAUAGAUAUUACUUAGAACACCAAUUGCGAAGG